UUUUUUUUUUUUUUUUUUUUUUUUUUUUUUGGAGUUCCUGUCAUGGCCCAGUGAUGACAAACCCAGUUAGGAACCAUAAGGACUCAUGUUUGCUCAGUGGGUUAAGGAUCCAGCAUUGCUGUGACCUGCAGUGUAGGUUGCAGACGCAGCUUGAAUCUGGUGUUGCUGUGGCUGUGGUGUAGGCCAGCAGCUACAACUCUGAUUCAACCCCUAGCCCGGGAACUUCCAUAUGCUGAGGGUGUGGCCCUAAUAGACCAAAAAAAAAAAAAAGCUUGUUUUUCAUGACUGUUCAUGGAAGCAAAUAAAAUGUGUGUUGCUUUUUAAAAAUUCAGAUUUGACAAGUUACUUUUUGAAGCUUUGAUGCUCAUCUACCCUGAACCUUCUCCGAUGGGCAUUUGCAUAUGCCCCAGGGAUACCUGGGUGGUAUACCAACAGGAUGUAGAAGUCAUGAGAUUAAAAAGGGCAAGGCUUCCUAGAAAAAUGGCUUUUUCUAUUAUUCUGAUGGUUCAAAUGGAAAAUAGUAUUAUUUCUAUAUUAACACAAAUAACAUAUGUGAGGGAGCAGAAGGCAAAUAGGUAAGAUAUUUAAGAUGAGUGAGACAGAAGUUAUGCCUCCAAGGCUCUUGGGUGGGGUAUUCUUUCUCCUUUACUAUUGGGGUAUUAGGAUAGAAAAGUUGUGCAAAACUGUUUCAUAGCCAUCUUUGCUGCCACCAAAUACAAACAGGCAAAACAUGAGCAGUGAAGGCAAUGGCUGUCUUUACAAGAGUUCAUUAAAAUAUAGAUAUAUUCCACAAGAGUGCUUAAAAUGUCCUUUGAUUUGGCCUCAUUCCUGCUGGUUAUCUGCCUAAAACACAUUUCACCUUUCUUCCUAUCUAAGUUGGAUUAACCCAGCUCAGAAUUCAGUCACCCAAGAAGCUCUCCCAAAAAAUUCCAGUCCAAAGUGAUAUCUUUCAUUGGAAUUCACGUCACUUCUUCUCUAUAUCGCUUUUUAAAAAUCAACUAUUUUCUUUAAAAGUAAUAUGUGCUCCUUAUCAAAAUACAUAAAACAUAGAAAAAUAUAAAGAAUAUUAAAAUUGCCUAUAAGAACAUCCACCCAGAGGUUAGUAUGUUUAAGCUUCUUUCAUAAUAUUUUACAGUUGCAAGUUUAUACUUUGAGAUUAUAUUGACUGUAUACAUGUUUUUCACCAAAUGACAAGCAUUUACCCAUCACUUCCCUUAGGUUUUAUCUAAACAUGUCCCCUGGUAUUUGACCUUUCAUGUCUUGUUUUUUUACCUAUCAGCUCUAUUACAUUCAUUCCCUUGCUCAUUCAUUCCUUCUUUAAACACUGAGUAGUCACUUACAACAUACCAAACUUCGUGCUUAAGAGUUUUCGUUCUGUUCCCAUACUAACUUAUGAAUAAGGACGGUUUUUAAAAUUUUCCCCCAAAUUUUAACUACUGACUUAAUCAAAUGAGAAGUACACAGUAAGUAUUUGAGAAUGAACUUAAGAAAAUUUCAUUUAUCCUCAACUUUUUGGAAACAUUCAUUUGCAUUAGGGUGCUUCUCAAAUUGUACAUACGGACUAUUGGCCACCUUUUAAUAAAAUGGUAGGAAGUCCUUAAUGAAUUGUUUCAUAUUUUCCUUUUAAAAUUUAAAUUUUGGCCACAGUGCAUGUUUAAUCAUUUUUGGCAACAUAUGGUAGACAAGGAGUCAGCAUCUGUACCAAGCUUAAUACCUGUGUACCCAGGCCAGUGCAGAGGCAGAGAGGGCAACUAAAGAAACAGACUCCAAAAAAACAACUGUGCAGAAUUAUAAACCAUUAGUAAAGAAAAUGGAAAAACAUUCCUUGUUCUUGGCUUGGAAUAACUAAUAUUGUUAGAAUGGCCACACUGCCCAAAGCAAUCUAAGACUUAAUAUGAUCCCUAUGAAAUUACCUAUGACGUUUUUCACAGAACUAGAACAAAUACUCCUAAACUUUAUAUGGAAUCAUAAAAUGUCCAGAACUGCCAAAGCAAUCCUGAGGAAAAAAACAAAACAGGAGCCAUAACCCUCCCAAACUUCAGACAAUACUAGAAAGCCACAGUCAUCAAAAACAGCAUGGUAUUGACACAGAAACAGACAUAUAGAUCAAUGGAACAGAAUAAAGAGUCCAGAAAUAAACGCACACACCUACGGUCAAUCAUCUGACAUAGGAAGCAAGAACAGACAGUGGGAAAAAGGCAGUCUCUUCAGCAAGCGGUGUUGGAAGGUAGACAGCUGCAUGUAAACCAAUGAAGGCAGAACACACCUUCAUAGCAUACACAAAAAUAAACUCAAAAUAGCUUAUAAGGACUUAAAUACAAGAUACGACACCAUAAAACUCCCCGAAGAGAACACAAGCAAAACAUUCUCUGAUAUAAACUGUACCACUAUUUCUUUGGUCAGUCUCCCAAGGCAACAGAAAUAAAAGCAAAAAUAAACAAAUAGGACCUAAUCAAACUUAGAAGCUUUGGUACAGUAAAGAAAACCAUAAACAAAACAAAAAGACAAACUACAGACUGAGAGAAAACAUUUGCAAAUGAUGUGGCCAACAAGGGCUUAAAUUCCAAAGUUUACAAACAAUUCAUACAACUCAAUAACAGAAAACCAAACAGCCCAAUCAAAAAAAUGGGCAGAAGACGUAAACAGACAUUUCUGCAAAGAAGACAUAAAGACGGAUGAUAGGCAUAUGAAAAGAUGCUCAACGUCACUAAUUAGUAGAGAAAUGCAAACCAAAACUACAGUGAGGUACCACUUCACACUGGUCAGAAAGGCCGUCAUAAAAUAGUCUACAAAUAACAGACGCUUGGAGAGAGUGUGGAAAAAAAAGGGACCUUCCUACAUUGUUGGUGGUAGUGUAAGGUGAUGCAGCCACUAUGGAGAACAGUAUGAAGGUUCCUCAAAAAACUAAAAAUAGAGUUGCCAUAUGAUCCAGCAAUCCCAUAUUGCUGGGCAUAUAUCUGGACGAAACUAUAAUUUGAAAAGAUAGCAUACCCCUAUGUUCACAGCAGUGCUAUUCACAACAGCCAAGACAUGAAAACAACCUAAAUGUCCAUCAAUAGAUGAACGGAUAAAGAAGAUGUAGUAGGAGAUUCCUGGUGGCCUGAUAGUUAAUAACCUGGUGUUGUCACUGCUGUGGCUCAGGCUGCUGCUCUGGAGCAAGUCUGACCCCUGGCCCUGAGACUGCUGCAUUCAGCAGGUGCAGCCCCCCUCAAAAUAAGAAGAUGUGGUAUAUCUAAACAAUGGGAUACUAACUACUUAACCAUUACAAGAACGAAAUACUGCCAUCUGCAGCCACACGGAUGGACCUAAAGAUGAUCAUACUAAGUGAAGUCAGAAAGGCAAAAGCAAAUACCACACGAUGACACUGAACAGGUGGAUCUAAAAUCCAACACAGAUGAACAGACCCACACAGCAAAAACAGACUCACGGACAUAGAGAACAGACUUGUGGUUGCCAAGGAAGAGGGAAGGCGGGGAGGGACAGAUUGGGAGUUUGGGGUUAGCAGGUGCAAACUGUUACGUAUAGAAUAUGGAUGAACAACAAGGUCCUACUGCACAACGCCCUGUGAUCAACCACAAUGUAAAAGAAUAUGUUCACGUACAGCUGUGUCACUUUGCUGUACAGGAGACAUUAACACAACACUGCACAUCAGUUUUUAAAAAAGACACACUGCGUGUUGCAGGACGUGAGAAUGCUUAAAGAUGAUGCAGGUAGCACAUGAUGCUUCCUGCAGAAAAAGUGACUCAAGGAUAUAUUUUGUGUGUUAAGAAAGACCUGUGUGUGUUCUGGACUGAGGCUCUUUUUAUUUAGUUGCUCAACUCUGAGAACACUUUCCUUUGAGAAAAGAAGCAAUGCAAAAAGGUCAGGUUACUCAUUAUUCUUUCUUAUCGACUCAGUGUCUCAACUUUGUGCCAUACCUUCUGGUACCCAACACGGCAACAACCAUAGAGGGUAAUAAACCCUUCCUUUGAACUUGUGAUUUAUGUGUAAUGCUUGCAUAAUGAUUAUCAGCAUAUAAAUUCUGGGUAGUUCAGCUGCUGCCCAUGCUGCCUAAAAAAAAAAAAAAAAAAGAAAAGGUUUCCUGUUAUUUCAGUGUUCUUUCUUGGCAAAGUACUAUAAAGCUGGAAAAGAGCUCGAAUUAAAUGUUGAUUGAAAAAAGGCCAAUUCAUUUCAAAAGAAAAAGAUCUAAGGUUCAUAACAUCUUUAGAGGGACUUCACAGAGAUGCAAAGGUGCACUGGAAGAUGCGAAGCUCUCCCAGGAUCCAGGGAAGCUCCUCCUUUGCUGUGGAUUACUCACCCUUUACCCUCUUCUCUUGUGCUGAAAGCACAAAUUAACUAGUCAGGAGAAAACUGCUCUUAGGAUUUGUAAGUAACCUCGAUUACUUAGAGAAGGUGUCACCCAGGAUUUCUGUUUACAUGUGUGUCACUUUUCUUUCUUAUUUUCAAACGUUUAUAAUACGGAAUGGGCUCGUUGGGGAGAAUGUAGAAAAUACAGGAGAAAGAGAUUUAAAAAAUCAGUUACAUAAAUAUACUAUCUAGUGAUAACAACUACUAAUUUAAUUCAUUUUUACUAAUCUUUUUUCAGAUAUAUUUCUUUAGACACACAGAUAUCUUUCUUUUUAAAAUAUUUUCUUUUUCUUCUAUAGAACCUACUCCUCACAGGUAGAUUGGAAUAAAAUGUAUGUUAUAGCCAUUUUCACUUUCUCUAGGAAAAAUUAACUUCUGUUUAUUAAAAAGGGAUUGAAGGAUUUAGAGAGAGGGGUCAAGGGAAAUAUCUGGAAGAAAAUAAAGAAAAUAACAUUUCCUAAAUUCUAUUUCAAAAGUACUCUGUAUUAUAUUCUAUAUAGAGGCAUGCUAAGAUUUAAAUAAAACAUUAAAGUUUACCAUAAAAGUAGCUAGCUUACCUUUGUAUGGAUUCAGGAUACACUAAAUUAACCAGAAAAGGAUAACUUUAAAGAAUUUACCAAAUUAAUAAACAUACAUUGAUGCUUUCUAAAUAAGUGGCCCUGGGAUCUCAAGCGGUCUACAUCUUUAUAGAUUUAUUUGGUAAGAAACUAUGAGCUUUGCUAAUGAUCUCUAGAAAAUAUCAGGAUAUUUCCAAAUAUUUAACAGUAGAUUCACAUAUAACUACUACUAACUUCUGUGUAAUUCUGGGUCUUCUUCUUCUUCUUCAUUUAUUUAUUUAUUUAUUUUAGGGCCAUACCUGUGGCAUAUGGAGGUUCCCAGGCAAGAGUUUAAAAUCAUGCACAGAGGGAAAAAAACAGCAUAAGCAAAGUCAAUUGACAAACUAGAACCAAAAAUUGCAAAUUCUAUCACAAAUGAAGGCUAACUGGCUUCUCUAGAGAGUUGAAAAUUUAAAGAACAUUUCUCCCCCAAUCUCCCAAAAUAUGGGCAAAGGACAGGUACCCGUGGCACUGGAAAAAUACAGGCAAGCAACCCAUGAGUACAUGAAAAGAUGCUCCAGGGUUCGGCCUAAUGGAAGCCUGAGCAAUGUCUAUCACAUCGUGGGUUUCUGAAGAAGUAACUUAAAGAAACUAGAAAUUAAAUGGCUUUCUUAGAAUGAAAAUUCUCUAUCACAAGGAAAAAUGUUGUAUGUUGUUUUUCCCAUAAUGGAGGUCAGUGGGCGCUAUGAUUAACAAAUAUCUGAUGCCUGUGACUUUUUAAUUGCAAGAAAUCUGUGAGUUUUUUUAUUAUCUAUGGGAAAUAUUGCAUAUAUUAAUGAUAUCUAAAAUACGCUAUCACCUAACUUGUAUUAUUGAGCAAUUCUGUCCACAUCUGGCCUUUCACCUUUCAUCUAAAAAGCAGGGGCUGGACCAACUGACCUUCAGUGCCAUUCUUACUGCUAACAUUCUAAUUUUGUUUUUCUUGCCUUUUUGUACAGAAGUGUGAGAGAAGUCAUUUUAAGUCUGUGACAUUAAAUGUAAUUUUCUGUCUCCAGCAUUAUAAUAAGAAUCAAAGAUGUAAUCUAAUACACUGAUGGAAUAUUGUUUAUAACGUAUUUACUGUUUAAAGCCUUCAAAACCAAGAGAAAACAAAAUGAGUACCUGUUCCUUCUGAGAAAUGCCCUUCUUCCUGUUCAGAAUCCCUGUGUAUAACAGGAAUGCUCUCGAGUUAACAGCGAAGUAAGGGGCCCAUCGGCUGGCAGGUGCCCACCUAGGUGCAAGCAGAGGUGGCAGUGCUCCCAGGACCAACAGCAGAAACAUGGCUUAACUAUCCUGUGUUUAGCAGUUCUCUUAUGGGUUUUCAUAACACCUAAAAAGCGCCCUGAUGGGGUAAAGCCUCUGCCUUCAUGCUGCUGCCCCAUCUCUGAAAAGCAGGACGUAAAUAUACAAUUUAGGAGGUAAGAGGGACAUCUGCCAUUGUUUUCUUUAACACAGUCAGCCUCUGUUUAAUGAAUCCCAGCCACCUCCCUCCACCUACCAUCAUUCCUAAGGUUUGCAGAGGAGCUGCCAUAGAGCUCAAAACAUGGUCUACAGACAAGCAUCUUCUCCAUCCCUCCUCAUCUUCUCACGGGCCGUUUGACAAAAUCUCUAGGAGGAGGUGGAGGCGCCACCAGUGUUUAAGCCCCUCGUUCACCCAAAGCCUUGACUCUGGAGUUCUAGUCCUCGUGGGACCUUAGGAAGUUCACGGUCAAUACUCUGCCCUUGGGCUCAGACACUAAGAUGAUCUCCGGGUAAAGAGAUAGACAGUAGCUCCAUGCCUGAUUUAGGAAAACUGUCCGUACAGACAGUUGUAAUUCAUUCCUUUCAGAGACAAAUCCUGCUCUCUUCCUAGUUCCUGAAGUCAUUAAAAUCAAAAGCUCUCAGAAACGUCCCAGCAUUUGCUAAGUCCACGCUGGGGGAGGAUGGGCAGAGCCGUGUUCAGCGCGUUUGACAGCAACACCCACUUAUUUCAUUCAGUAUCCAUAGGCAUAUAUCAUGCACCUGG
rnacentral:lncRNA from 1 species